CAAAUUUGAAAUCUGGCACCUUCGGUGUCCGAGUUGUAAUUUGAAGAAGGUAACUUUGGAGUUGGCUCUUGUCUAUGUUCCUUGGAACAGGACGUCACAGAGGGUGAGAAUCCCGUGCGAUGAGAUGUCCAACUCUAUGUAAAGUGCUUUCGAAGAGUCGAGUUGUUUGGGAAUGCAGCUCUAAGUGGGUGGUAAAUUCCAUCUAAAGCUAAAUAUUGGCGAGAGACCGAUAGCGAACAAGUACAGUGAUGGAAAGAUGAAAAGAACUUUGAAAAGAGAGUGAAAAAGUACGUGAAAUUGUUGAAAGGGAAGGGUUUGAGAUCAGACUUGGUAUUUUGUAUGUCUUGCUUUCGGGUGGGGCCUCUGCAGUUUACUGGGCCAGCAUCGGUUUGGACGGUAGGAUAAUGACAUUGGAAUGUGGCACUACUUCGGUGGUGUGUUAUAGACUUUGUUGAUACUGCCUGUCUAGACCGAGGACUGCGUCUUUGACUAGGAUGCUGGCAUAAUGAUCCUAAACCG
rnacentral:rRNA from 1 species